CUAGAGGAAAACGUUGGCACUGGCUUCUUAUGCUAUGUAUUCUGUAAGAUGCCGUCUAUUUGCAUGAUCAUAAGAUGGUCAGGACAUUUCUACCCUAUUGCACAAAUCCCUUAGGAAAACUGUGUUUGAGUUUCCCCACUUUUACGCUGAUCUGAACUCAUCCAGAGACAUUAUCUAAAUCUGUGAAAGAAUGAGGGCUGCUUGUCAUGCGUCCUUCGUCUCCACUAACGUGUGCCACCCGAUUAGAAGCAAUUUAAGCAAUCAAGGCCGUUAUGAGAAGGGGAUGUUAAAAAUAGGUUUUCUAUAGCCUCAGCACUCUAAUUCAGAAGAAAAUCUAAAAUUACAUAUGUAUCGUUUCUUUAUAUGAAAUAUAUAAUCCCAGUGUCUCCUGUUCGCUCUUUUUUCCCUCCAUGGUCCCUACCCCAUCUCUUGCCUUCCUUUAGGAAAUUCUUAACAGAAGCGAAGUGUAAGGCUCCGAUGGAAAGAAGGGACUCAGGUUCCUAAAAAGUCUUUCUGAGACCAAACGAGAGGGUUUGUGGGGUGCUUGGCCCAGCCUUUCCUGGGGCUCCUCGCUGUGGUAGCGCCC
rnacentral:lncRNA from 1 species